GACGAACGCUGGCGGCGUGCCUAAUACAUGCAAGUCGAACGAGAGCGACCGGUGCUUGCACUGGUCAAUCUAGUGGCGAACGGGUGAGUAACACGUGGGUAACCUGCCCAUCAGAGGGGGAUAACAUCCGGAAACGGAUGCUAAAACCGCAUAGGUCUUCGAGCCGCAUGGCUUGAAGAGGAAAAGAGGCGCAAGCUUCUGCUGAUGGAUGGACCCGCGGUGCACUAGCUAGUUGGUGAGGUAACGGCUCACCAAGGCCGUGAUGCAUAGCCGACCUGAGAGGGUGAUCGGCCACAUUGGGACUGAGACACGGCCCAAACUCCUACGGGAGGCAGCAGUAGGGAAUCUUCCGCAAUGGACGCAAGUCUGACGGAGCAACGCCGCGUGAGUGAAGAAGGUUUUCGGAUCGUAAAACUCUGUUGUCAGAGAAGAACAAGUGCUAGAGUAGCUGUUAGGACCUUGACGGAUCUAACCAGAAAGCCACG
rnacentral:rRNA from 1 species